rnacentral:lncRNA from 1 species
UGAAUGAAAUUUUUAAUUUAAAUAGUGAAAUGAUUUGCAAGUAAUUUAACACUCAUUUUGUAGAAAUAGUUUCAUUAUACAUCAAUUAUCUAUAUCUUUUGCAGAAGAAGACUCGAAAACUUGUUUACAUGGGGUAAACUUAAGGAGAAGGAGUCAUCUGGUGAGAUUAGUGUUCUUCUUCAAGUCCCUUUCACAUGUACAGUCAUCACCAGAAAGGAUGUUGAAAUGGCGAUAAUUGAAGAGAAAGACAUAUUUGAAUAA